rnacentral:lncRNA from 1 species
CUGGGCCACCUGGCCGGCCCCUCAUUAUUUCUUAAUAAGAUAAACUAUACUCACAAUGCUGAAUGCCAGAGGAAUUAAGAAUACAAUUGUCGAUACUAAACUUCCAUUGUCACGGACAAAUCUUCUUUACAGAGUUUAUAAAUACAUUUCGAAAAUCUCACUGUCAGUACUUUUUUUUUCCAACUCUUUCAAUAAAGCCUAGAGUUAAAAAAAGAAAAAAAAAAAAGGAUGGCGCCCUCCGGUGGGGGCGCGGCACAAGGAGAGCACGAAGAUGGCGUCUACCGGCCUCGUCCGCAGAGCAGGAGGCCUCCAGAUACUUGCCAGACCAGGUGCCUGCCCCUCAGGCCAAGGCUCCAAGACCAGGAAAUGAGCCUCUUUCAGUCUGGGCGCCUCUCCUGGCCGAUUCUGCACUGGGCCCGGGAGCAGGCUCCUGGAUUUAUGAAGUUGGAGUCGGUGUUCAGAGUCCACAUUUUAUGAUGUCGAGAGUUGGCGUUGUUUCGUCUUUCCCCAUGACCUGUUUUAACGGUGCCCAGUUGCAACUUGUCACAAAGAAGUCUUCCUCCCACAGAGGCCAGGGAUACGAUGAAGUCACACGCAGGGAGCACCCGAGUAAGAAUUGCUCAGAAGCAAAUAUGGUUCUGAAGACAGUCUCGGUAUAUUUUAAAUUAUUUGCAUCAGAGAUUCAGACAUGGCUCAGAAAAGCAACAGGAAAAGAAAAUCAAGAAACAACUUUGGUAUUAUUUAUAAAGAAUGAAUUAUUUUUAUGCUGAUUCUCUACGAAUGACCCAGAGUUUAAAAGAGUGUGUUGAUGGCGAUUCUAGCAACUCUGUAAAAAAUGUAACAGGGGCGGAGUAAGCAUCAAAGAAGAAAGACAGCCAGCACCUUCUAUGCUCAUCCUACAUUUAUAUUUGGGAGCAAAUAUCCACCUUAUAAUGGAAGUGCAUGACCACUUCAGCCACAAAAUACAUAUACUGUUGAUAUAUGUUCGGUCCCAUACUCAUCUUGGCUUUGUUCAACAUCGCCAAUGGAAAUUAAAGAGAAGGGCAUUUUUUGUUGUUGUUAUCACCUUCUGAAAAUCUUUUGUUGUUGCCUUUCAAAAAUUAAAAUUCUUCUUGGGGCCAGCCCUGUGGUAUGGUGGUUGAGUUUGGUGCACUCUGCUUCGGCAGCCCAGGUUCGCAGGUUCGGAUCCUGGGCAUGUCCUUUGUGUCAAUUAAUGUAUUUAUUAUUUAACUGAGGGUAUUUUGUAAAACAGUUAAAAGUUCAGAAACAUAGUAUUAAAGACCUCAUUACUUUA